rnacentral:rRNA from 1 species
ACGAACCGUCCAAACGUUAUUCGGAAUCACUGGGCUUAAAGGGUGCGUAGGCGGCCGGACAAGUUGGGUGUGAAAUACCUCGGCUCAACCGAGGAAUAGCGCCCAAAACUGUUUGGCUCGAGGAAGACAGAGGUGUGCGGAACUUAGGGUGGAGCGGUGAAAUGCGUUGAUAUCCUAAGGAACACCAGUAGCGAAAGCGGCACACUGGGUCUUUUCUGACGCUGAGGCACGAAAGCUAGGGGAGCGAACGG